GUGCAAUGGGCGGAAGCCUGACGCAGCGACGCCGCGUGGGGGAUGACGGCCUUCGGGUUGUAAACCUCUUUCGCCAGGGACGAAGAGCAAUUGACGGUACCUGGAGAAGAAGCACCGGCCAACUACGUGCCAGCAGCCGCGGUAACACGUAGGGUGCGAGCGUUGUCCGGAAUUAUUGGGCGUAAAGAGCUCGUAGGCGGUGUGUCGCGUCGGCCGUGAAAACUUGGGGCUUAACUCUGAGCGUGCGGUCGAUACGGGCAUCACUUGAGUUCGGCAGGGGAGACUGGAAUUCCUGGUGUAGCGGUGAAAUGCGCAGAUAUCAGGAGGAACACCGGUGGCGAAGGCGGGUCUCUGGGCCGAUACUGACGCUGAGGAGCGAAAGCGUGGGGAGCGAACAGGAUUAGAUACCCUGGUAGUCCACGCCGUAAACGUUGGGCGCUAGGUGUGGGGACCAUUCCAUGGUUUCUGUGCCGCAGCUAACGCAUUAAGCGCCCCGCCUGGGGAGUACGGCCGCAAGGCU
rnacentral:rRNA from 1 species